CAUACAAUAUCGAAAAAUUCGGAUUAGUGACACGUUUGUAUGUCCUGUUCACGCUGUUGCUACUAUUAUUAUUUCGUUUAGACAAGUCGGCUUUCGUAAUGGUUUAAGCAAUUUCUUACUAGAAAUUAUAUGCAUGUUGGCAAAACAUGUGUUUAUAGUGAAGUCCUUGUGAAAUCCACUAGGAAUGGACUUUGUAGUGACUAUUUAGUGAUAAAAUUUGCCAAAUGUUAGGAACCUGAUAGGAAAGUGAGCGACACAACAGAACUUCAUGGAAAGAGAAAAUAUACAGGAAUGAAUUCUGCCUACGCUUCUUCACUGGCUUUUUCCAUUCUGCACCAUAGCAGAGGACGAGUUGAUGCGGAACGAGACAGGGAUGAUUCCUCGCGGGGAAAAUUUCGACGGCGACGACAACGGAGAGCAUCGCCAUCGUUACCGCCGCCGCCGCCGCCAAUUCGUCAUCACUCGGUGUUCUUCGAUUAUCAAGAUACACAUGUUAAUGACAAUCAAAGUUAAACUGUUUAUUGCUUCCUAGAACAGUUCGGUCGUAACCUAUAUGUGAUUGAAGCCCAUACGCACAACGCGGUGAUCAAUGUGAUGAAAAUAACUUGAAGGACCGACAGUGGCUACUAGUAUCACAAUGCUCAACGGAAGCUUAGUAAUUUUUAUCAACCUCAAGCGUUGUAACAGCAGCUCUGGAGACGCGGCUGUGCUUGGACAACCCAGAAUGAACGCACACGAAUGGUCCGGCCGAUCAGAAGUGGCUCAUUGACGGUAGCCUCCAACCGCUCUUCACCUUGUUGACGAAAAAUGAGACGAUCCGCUGAUCGCUACUUCAAUUCCGAAAGCGCGAUCAUUUUUCUUUAGAAAGGUCUUCGAGAUACCAGAAAAUCAUCGCGGGCUGGACUGCAAACGAAGGAUGGCAGAAUCACGAACUAGCACAGCUCAGAAGGGCCAGAAAAAUACCGUUAAUACUUUAGGAAAGGGAAAUGCUGGGAGUAUACUACAACGAUGAAGGAAGGGGCGCCGGCGCCAGAACUGUUAGGGAUUCCAGCGACGGCGCCGAAACGUUCGGAAAAUGGCCGAUCGGGAAGCGUCAUACGAAGGACGCAAGAGCGUUAUUACACUGAGACUGCCAAGAGCGCAAUUGCAAUGGCUGUUAGCGAAAGCGUAGCGGCCAUUGCGUUCCGGACGGAAAACAAAAAACAGCUGCUACUCAUGGCGCGAUUAAAGCGCACGAAUCCUUCUCAGCAGCCGAUAUAUUCUCACUGGGUAAUCAACGAUCUACUUCUUCACUCUAUAUAUACAUCUAUUAGAUAGUGUUUUUGUCAGAUUACACUUAAUCGCUUAAAACAGUGCAUAUGUAGAUAUAUACAUACUGCCCUGAGGAAUUAAAUGUAAUCUGACAAAAGCACUAUCUAACAGAUUUUGGUAUACUACAGUUAUAUAUGGCUGAUUGGAAUUGUGACUUGAAGAUGAAUGCUUUGUUUAUCAUCUUGCAUGAAUUAGUGCUUUUCUUGUGCACAUGGCAGACAGAUGGUUCAUCGGUGAAGACAUAACGCAUUUACCAGUGUCAACACACUGCCAUUCCAAUCAUUAUCUCAACUGUAACUCCCUUGAGCAGUAAUGAGAGAUCAAAGAAUAACCUUCCUACAAGUAUUUUAAGUUGACCAAAUUUUAAAUGGUUUUCUGUUCGUAGGAAACACCUCUGUAAUAUUAAGAGACUGAAGACAUCUGUGCCGUCCCGUCUAGUGUCAACUUUACAUAUAAAAACAUCCUUUGUUCGAACGACAAACGAAUGGGACUUUUUUACUCGUGUUUUUUUACAUUGAAAUUGAGAUUCGUCAAACCACAAUGUAGCAGCGACAGAGAAAAAAAGCAGUAGCGACAAGAUGCCAGCAGCAGA